GGCGGCUCGGGUACCGGCCGCUCUGCCUGCAGGCGGGGCGGGCAACUCCCGGGCUUUCGGUGAGGUAAAAUGCGGCGUCGCUUGUUUCUGGCGUACCCUGCGUUCCUGUAAGGUACUGCUGGGAUCUGCAGCUGCAGGGGAAGCACAAGUGGGUCGCGGGUGGCUGAAACUAGGGCUGGAGCAGUUGCUGUUAAGGGGGUUGCUGUAUCAAACGGGGGAGCUGCUGUUUCUCACGUUGUACAACGUGGAAGUCGGUUUUUAAAACAAGCAACAGAACUGCCCGAAGUUGAAGAAAUCAAAAGUCAUCGACUUUACCACAUGGGGUAGCUUAAGGUAAACAGAGGGGAUCUCCACUUUGGUUUCUGUAUUAGGUCAAUUUUAUGCCUUACAGAUCUAAUAAAGUUUUCAAAA